rnacentral:sRNA from 1 species
CCACUCCAAGCUUUAGAUCUAGAACUCAAUAUGAACGAAUAACAAAAACGCACAGAAUACAGUAGCGUAACGCUAAAUUAAUUUGUAGGGCUUAGUGCUUCAACUGUUGAAUAUAUUUAGUUCUUCUCGAUUUUUCUUCCUGACAGCUACUUGGUUUACGGAUAACAAUAUAAUCUACAAGUUCGAGUAAGGUAACAGGCAGCAAUAAAGUUUCAAACUCCACCUUAAUAUCUUUUUGAACAAAGGACACAUGUUAUAUGUGGCAGAAUGAUAAUAA